CCCGGGGCUCGGCCUCUCUCCCCCGGGGCUCGGCCUCUCUCCCCCGGGGCUCGGCCUCUCGGGUGACUGUCGGCUGUUCCGAGGUCAGCCCCCCCCCCCCGGUGCCAGUUUCAGGGGAAAAGGUUCCCGUGGGGUGGGGAGGGGAUGUUAAACCUGCCUUGAGUUUCUGGUUCACUGGGAUGGCGAAUGACUGACUCCUCAUUGAGCGGUUGAUCUGUGGCGUGGGACCGGGUGUACAGUUGAUGUGAUGGGAAGUGAUUGGUUUUACUGAAUGUGAUGCUUGGCUCCACGUUUGGUAGAUUUCGCUGCUCCAGGUGCACAGAACAUGAAGCGAAGGAAAUGUCAAGCUAAAUUGGAAAGAUCAUUUCGGCGAUAGAAACGGCUGAAACAUUUACACUAAGUUCUGUACCUAGGUUCAGGAGUUGGUUUAAAGGCUGGCUUAUGUGAAUGCCUCAGUGUUUUUCUGGAUCCAUGAGUAUUUUGCCAGCUUGUGUGUUUAAAAAGUGAUAAGGCAUUGGAAUUUGGAAGCGAAUGUCUUACAGGAGAUGUGCUUGUUGUGGUGUUUGCUUUUUAGAAAAGAAUGAGACCAAUGCAUUAAGUUGCAAGACUUGAGGAUGCCAUGUCAAAUAUUUCUUGGAGGAUGAAGUUGAUUAAUAUACUUUGACCAUUUUUGUGCAGAAUGUCAGUCCAAGGAAGACAGAAAUUGGAUUUUUUAGAUAUGAUCAUCCUUGCUGUUUCUCUCCUUUGUUCUUUUUUUAUUGCUUCUUUCUUCUUUGAGGCUACAGAGUGACGCAGAAAAGUAUAUUUUGAUGUUGACUUGUGCUAAACACAUUGCACCUGUGCAGACGGGAAGUGUGUGUACUGAACAAAAACCUUAAACUGCGGUUUCUGUACAUGACUGUACAAUAUGUUGGUCAGGAACAUUCGAUUGUUCAUAACUUCAAAGACUGCCACUAUGAAAACAUGCUUUCUCUUCUAAUUUUAUUCUGCUGUGGCAUAACUGCAACAUCCCAUGCUGAACAAGAGGUGCUGUGAAGAAAAUGAGCCUAUUUUAACAUCGUGGCAAUGCAGAAUUGAACCAUUACAGCAAGUGACAUGAAAUGCACAUGAUGAGGACCAAGCAUCAUGUUGGUUUUCCUGACGAAAUAAUAAUUAUUGUCUGAAGAGGGAACUGAGGUGACAUCCCCAUUGUGGAUUAAUGGAUUACAUAAAAGCAGAACAGAAAUCUGGUUGGAGCUAGAUUGGUGGAACUGCUUUUGUGUAAAAAGGAGGGAAGAUGGACGUGUAGGGGCACUGACUGCUUUCGCUAUGUGGGUGUAGUUUUCAGUUUGAGUAAAGUGUAGGCUUUCUCCUGAUUUAAAAAUUUGUUAUAAGCCUUACAUAAUUCCAGUUUGAAAGUUUAUCUUGAUGUACUUACAUGUUGUGGUCAGCUGUAACACAUUUUGCAGUUCUUGUAACAAAAUGUUAAAUAAAUGUUUUGUUUAGAAAAA